rnacentral:misc_RNA from 1 species
CCGGAACAAGCCAUCUCCCAGCUUCUCUUCCCAUAAUAUGUUGGUGAUGAUGUAAGGCUUCCAUUGGCUUUAGGUAGCUUGAAAGGGCAUGAAGAAAGGGGAAGAACUGGGAGAUUUUGACAAUUACAGAUCUCAACCAUGUAGCCAUCUGGGUCAUGGAAGAAGAGCUGAUCAACUGUAAUGCCACCUUCUUCCACAACUGCUGUCACAUACUCAAUGUUCUUCUCCUCUAGUUUUUUAACAAC